rnacentral:lncRNA from 1 species
AGAAGCUCCCUGUGCCCAUGGGGCCAUCUCGGCUUGUCCGUGGCCCUCGGCCCCAGGGCAUGCGUUCCCCCUACCGCAGGCCAGGUAUGGGCUGGCCCAGGCCCCGAUUUCCCAGGAUGUUCAAGUGUAGCCGCAGAAGAUAUCAACAGGGUCUCCGAGGUCGAACUGCCAGCAGUGCAGCCAUCAAUCCUGCCACCAGGGCCAUGGGUAUCAACAACACCCACACUGACACCACCAUAGUGUGGAUCUUCCCACCUCAAGUCAAUCCCUGGGAGGCAGGCCACUAUUCCUCAUCUAUAGAUGAGAAAACCGAGGCUCAGAAAUGGACAGCUCUGGACCACACCUCACAGUGCCUGGGGAGCAGCCCAGGGGAGAUGGCAGGCAGGUGGAGAAGGAAGUGGUGGCACACUGGGACAGUUGGCACAGGUGCAGGAGGAGCAGGCCAGGCCAAGCCACCGAAUCGGGAGGUACUGAAGCCCAAGUAAGAGUUUUCAGUAGAGAGGGAGUAGACUGAGUGUUGGGCCCUAGGACUGGGCUUCCCUGGGUACUAUCCCAACCCCUGAGCCUCGGGAGAGGUGGAAAUGACCUUCCUCUGCACCGGCAUGCCCAGAGAAGAGAGCCUGGAGCUGAGACUUGCAACUUCUAGAAAACAAACACAAAACUGAGGCCAAGAGAGUGCUGACUACUAUUACCAACAAAAUUC